rnacentral:rRNA from 1 species
AUACGGAGGGUGCAAGCGUUAAUCGGAAUUACUGGGCGUAAAGCGCUCGUAGGCGGCUUGUUAAGUCGGAUGUGAAAGCCCUGGGCUCAACCUGGGAACUGCAUUCGAUACUGUCAGGCUAGAGUAUAGUAGAGGGAAGUGGAAUUCCGGGUGUAGCGGUGAAAUGCGUAGAUAUCCGGAGGAACACCAGUGGCGAAGGCGGCUUCCUGGACUAAUACUGACACUGAGGUACGAAAGCGUGGGGAGCAAACAGGAUUAGAAACCCCGGUAGUCC